UCAGUUUCCCCCAAAUCAACCACGACCUGCUCUGCUCCGACGACUUCCGCCUUCAUCUGCCCCGCGCAUUUUCAACGAGCGGCUGCAUCCACCUCUCCCUGCGCUGCUCCGGCGACCUCCUCGCCUCCACCCGCCCCCGUGCUGCUCUGACGAGGGGCUGCAUCUACCUACCUCCACAUUUCUUCAGCCUUUUGACCUGCCCCCACGCUGCUCCGGUGAGAGCCUCGCCCUCGACCUGUCGCCAUGCCGCUCCGGCGAGCGUCGUCGUGCUCCACCCGUGCGGGAACGGUGACUACGUUGUGCACGAGCGGACAAGAUGCUGGAAUCGGUGUCGGCGGGAGCUUCAAUCGGUGGAAGCUUCAAUCGAAGGUAAUGAAAUUUGGGAUCGGCCAUGACGCAAGCGCAAAAGCUGGAACCGUGCAUGGAAAAAGCUUCACCAGUUGUGUGAAAAAGCUUCAACCAUGGCAUGGUGGCUCCCCGCGACACCGGGAGCUGCAGCCGACGGCAUGGCGGUGCUACGACGGCGACGACUAAGAUGGACGGCGACCGGCGGCGAGGACGGCGACCGGGGGCGAGGACUGUGGGGCGAGGACCGUGGGGCGAGGACGGCGACCGGCGGCGAGCUGGUGAUGCUUCAAGGUCAGCCCUUGGAGAGUCCAUGGUGGGGUGUCGAGGACGAAUAGCUGUUUUGGAUUGGACGUGAUUUUCUAUUGAGAAAAAAAACGAUUCAAAGGCUGAAUCUAACGGUGUGCAAAAGACAAACUAACAUUCCAGAUACGACCGGCCCAACAGUU